rnacentral:rRNA from 1 species
UACGGAGGGUGCGAGCGUUAAUCGGAAUUACUGGGCGUAAAACGCAUGCAGGUGGCUCAUUAAGUCAGAUGUGAAAGCCCGGGGCUCAACCUCGGAACUGCAUUUGAAACUGGUGAACUAGAGUAUUGUAGAGGGGGGUAGAAUUUCAGGUGUAGCGGUGAAAUGCGUAGAGAUCUAAAGGAAUACCAGUGGCGAAGAUGGCCCCCUGGACAGAUACCGACACUCAGAUGCGAAAGCGUGGGGAGCAAACAGG